GGGGGUUUAGCUCAGCGGCAUAAGCGCCUGCCUUGAAAGCAGGCAGUUGUGAGUUCGAUCCCCGGUACCCAUA
rnacentral:tRNA from 1 species